AAAGACUUCAGUGGUGUAAACAAGACUUCUCCUCAAGAUGCAUGGACUGGUUGCUUUGAUUCUUCUUAGUACUGUUUGUAUUAUAGAGACUGCAGAAGUUCCUCGUUUGAUCUCCACAACUGAGAGGAAACCUGGUGAUAAUGUUACCUUUUCCUGUCAAUCGUCUAAUGAUCACAGAUUCAGUCAGUGGUAUAAACAGUCUCCUGGAAAGAUGAUCCAAACAAUGGCUACUGGAGUUUAUGGAAAAAUGACAGCAACUAAGACAUUCAGUAAUACUCGUUUCCAAUUCCGUAGAGAAAACAAUGAGAUGUCUCUUACCAUACAUUCUGUUAAAAAAGAAGAUGAAGCUGUAUACUUCUGCCAAAGUGGAACUGAAUUUUUGCUAACUUUUCAUAAUGGAUUCCUCUUGGUUGUAAAGGACUGUAAUCAACAGACAUCUGUCUAUGUGGAACAAACUCCAGACGCUGCAGCGGUCCAGCCAGGAGACACCGCCAGUCUCCAGUGUUCCCUUUUUUCAGCGAAAAGUGAAACAAGACCUCGGUGUCCAGGAGAAAACUUUGUUCACUGGUUCAAAUCUGGAUCUGGAAGCUCUUAUCCAAGUAUCAUUUACACAGCAAGGAAUAGCACAGACAAUGCAACGAAGAGAAGCUGUGUCUACCACCUCUCAAAAACAGUAGAGGACGCCUCUGAUUUUGGAACUUACUACUGCGCUGUGGCCAUCUGUGGAGAAAUACUCCUAGGUGGUGGAAGCAAACUGGAAACCAAACAGAACAAGACUCAAGUGUUCUUGUGCUUGGAGGAUUGUUGGGGUGCUGCGUGAUUGUGAUUAUCGGCCUUAUCUUCUACAUAACUGGAAGGAGAGUGUCCGACAGUGCUGAAGGAAUAAGAGGAUCACAUCAUGCUGAAGAUGAAACUUUGACUACUUAUCAAACAAAGAACUUGAAUAAAGAAGAGAAUAUGACCUACGCAGAGGCACUGAAUUUCCCUGCAGCAAAUGUGAGAAACUGCAAGAAAGUGACCACAGAAUGUGUGUAUUCUUCAGUCAAAGCAAAUUCAAAAAAACAGCAGCAGCUCUGAUUAGAGCCUAAGUAUUUGCACCAGACUCCAAAAAACAGGACUAAGAUCAAUCAAGCAAAAGAUGUUUGACUCUAUUUCUGAGUGCAAGAUUUUUCAUGUCUGUUCAUGUCGACUUCCUACUUUCUGGAUACAUUCUUGUAUUUAAGACCUUCAGCUCAUUGAAAACAGAUAAGUUUUGGUAUUAACAAGUCAUCUCUUGGUGUUAAUAAAGUACAGCAUGUCUUUGAAACAGACGUUUUUCAGUCAAUGUCAGGGAAAACUCGUGGUCUUUAAAAAAUAAUAAACAUUUCAAAAGUUCUGAUUCAGCAAUUAGAAAAAUAUAUAUUAGCUGCAAAGAUGUUUUUAUGAUGUAAAACUGAUUAAAUACUUGAAUUAGAAAAUUUGGCGUUUGGUUUUGGUCCAAGUCAUUGAAACUCUUUUAAAUGUUGUUUUUUGGACUGAUUUAAAGAAAAGACAUGUCAAUUAUUUCCAAUUCUAUUGUAACUUUAACACUUUUGAUUUAACAUAAGGGUAGAAAAAACUACAGCAAAAAUUGCCAUGAUAGACUUCAUCUUCUCUCGUCGAUUGUUUAAAAUCCACCACAAUGCUCUUCUAUUACAACAUAAGUGAUGAGUAAAGAACAAAUGACAAUUUCAUAAUCAGUUACUCCACAGGUUUUGAUGAAUUCACUUCUUCAAACUGUGUAUGUCUAAUUCCAUCAUGUAAUAAAAAUAAUAAUAAAAGUAAUAAAAACUCCUCUGUGCUUCAGUGAGAAUCCCAUCUUAAAUGUGACCCUAAUAAACAUUCAUCUUAACUGUUGCUAGUUUCUUAAAACAUCAAGCUUUUAAAUAAAAUUUCAAGUGUAUUUGUUCUUAUCUACCAAAUGUCAGACAAACUGGUAAUAACUUCACUGAAUGAAUACCAGAUGUUUUUCUACAAAUAAAUCUCAGGUCUGGUAAAGCAAAUAAGCAGAUAAAUGUAAUGUAGAUCAUCUCUUCUCACUGUUCAUGUGUUUGUCAGAACAUUUCUCAAUAAAUAUGCUAUUUGUUUUUGAUUAUUAAAAUGUCUUAGAAUGUUUCUUGUGUAUUGUUCUAGUUUCUCUGUCAUAACAUAUUGAAAUGUGUUAACGUUAAAGUAUCCUGUACAUGUAUUACCUUGUGUGAAUUUCCAAGUCAGGCCACUUAACCCAUAAAAAAACAAAUAAAAUCAAAACCUAGUACUUUAUUCAUUGGAAAUCAGAUAAUGGUUUGCUAUCCAGUGUCUUACUUUGGUUUAAUAAACA